GAUGAACGCUGGCGGCGUGCCUAAUACAUGCCAGUCGAGCGAACGGACGAGAAGCUUGCUUCUCUGAUGUUAGCGGCGGACGGGUGAGUAACACGUGGAUAACCUACCUAUAAGACUGGGAUAACUUCGGGAAACCGUAGCUAAUACCGGAUAAUAUUUUGAACCGCAUGGUUCAAAAGUGAAAGACGGUCUUGCUGUCACUUAUAGAUGGAUCCGCGCUGCAUUAGCUAGUUGGUAAGGUAACGGCUUACCAAGGCAACGAUGCAUAGCCGACCUGAGAGGGUGAUCGGCCACACUGGAACUGAGACACGGUCCAGACUCCUACGGGAGGCAGCAGUAGGGAAUCUUCCGCAAUGGGCGAAAGCCUGACGGAGCAACGCCGCGUGAGUGAUGAAGGUCUUCGGAUCGUAAAACUCCGUUAUUAGGGAAGAACAUAUGUGUAAGUAACUGUGCACAUCUUGACGGUACCUAAUCAGAAAGCCACGGCUAACUACGUG
rnacentral:rRNA from 1 species